UGAGGAAUAUUGGUCAAUGGGCGGAAGCCUGAACCAGCCAUGCCGCGUGAAGGAAUAAGGCCCUAUGGGUCGUAAACUUCUUUUGUGGUGGAGCAAUAAGACGUACGUGUACGUCGAUGAGAUUACAUCAUGAAUAAGCAUCGGCUAACUCCGUGCCAGCAGCCGCGGUAAUACGGAGGAUGCAAGCGUUAUCCGGAUUUAUUGGGUUUAAAGGGUGCGUAGGCUGUUUGACAAGUCAGUGGUGAAAGCCCGGGGCUUAACUCCGGAAUUGCCGUUGAUACUGUUGAGCUGGAAUACGGAUGCCGUGGGAGGAAUGAGUAGUGUAGCGGUGAAAUGCAUAGAUAUGACGCAGAACUCCGAUUGCGAAGGCAGCUUUCCAGCACGCCACUGACGCUGAGGCACGAAAGCGUGGGGAUCGAACAGGGAUUAGAUACCCUGGUAGU
rnacentral:rRNA from 1 species